rnacentral:lncRNA from 1 species
AUGUUUGCUCUAGCCCAGUACUUCAUAUUCCAGGCUGAGAUGCCUCCCAAUAGUGCAUACAUGAAAAUUCUGCUCCACCUGGUGAGAGAUGAGGAUCCAGUUUUAUUCUCUGGCCUGGUGUUUGCUUCAGCUCAAGAGUUCAAGACCAGCCUGGGCAACAUGGUGAAACUCCAUAUCUCCCUCACCCCAGCAAAAAAAAGUUUACUCCUGCCAACGGUUCAGAGGACAAAUUCAGCGAGGCAGUAUCUGGCUAUGGAGCAGGCUAAAGUGGAGAACCUGGAGAUGGAUAGGUUAGAAGAAAGUAAGAUAAUGAUUACAACAAAAGCAGGGUUCUGUGACAGAAGAAUCCUUGCUGUUGUAGG